GUAGGUGGCAAGCGUUGUCCGGAAUUAUUGGGCGUAAAGCGCGCGCAGGCGGUCCUUUAAGUCUGAUGUGAAAGCCCACGGCUCAACCGUGGAGGGUCAUUGGAAACUGGGGGACUUGAGUACAGAAGAGGAAAGCGGAAUUCCAAGUGUAGCGGUGAAAUGCGUAGAGAUUUGGAGGAACACCAGUGGCGAAGGCGGCUUUCUGGUCUGUAACUGACGCUGAGGCGCGAAAGCGUGGGGAGCAAACAGGAUUAGAUACCCUGGUAGUCCACGCCGUAAACGAUGAGUGCUAAGUGUUAGGGGGUUUCCCGCCCCCCCUAGUGCUGCAGCUAACGCAUUAAGCACUCCGCCUGGGGAGUACGGCCGCAAGGCUG
rnacentral:rRNA from 1 species